AGAAUCAACGCUGGCGGCGUGCCUAACACAUGCAAGUCGAACGGGAAAGUGGAGCAAUCCAUGAGUAUAGUGGCGACCGGGUGAGUAACACGUGACUAACCUACCCUUGAGUGGGGGAUAACCUCGGGAAACCGGGCUAAUACCGCAUAACAUCUUCGGGAUGAGAAGCUGAAGAUCAAAGGAGCAAUUCGCCUUCGGAGGGGGUCGCGGCUGAUUAGCUAGUUGGCGGGUAACGGCCCACAAGGCUUUGAUCGGUA
rnacentral:rRNA from 1 species